rnacentral:rRNA from 1 species
AGGACGAACGCUGGCGGCGUGCUUAACACAUGCAAGUCGAGCGGAAAGGCCCUUCGGGGUACUCGAGCGGCGAACGGGUGAGUAACACGUGAGUAAUCUGCCCCUAGCUCUGGGAUAGCUCCGGGAAACCGGGAUUAAUACCAGAUACAACCACUUUAGACAUCUCUUGUGGUGGAAAGAAUUUCGGCUAGGGAUGAACUCGCGGCCUAUCAGCUUGUUGGUGAGGUAACGGCUCACCAAGGCGACGACGGGUAGCCGGCCUGAGAGGGCGACCGGCCACACUGGGACUGAGACACGGCCCAGACUCCUACGGGAGGCAGCAGUGGGGAAUCUUGCGCAAUGCGCGAAAGCGUGACGCAGCAACGCCGCGUGGGGGAAGAAGGCUUUCGGGUUGUAAACCCCUUUCAGUUGGGACGAAGCUCCGUCGGUUAAUAGCCGGCUGGAGUGACGGUACCUUCACAAGAAGCACCGGCUAACUACGUGCCAGCAGCCGCGGUAA